rnacentral:rRNA from 1 species
CCUACGGGAGGCAGCAGUGGGGAAUAUUGGACAAUGGGGGCAACCCUGAUCCAGCCAUGCCGCGUGUGUGAAGAAGGCCUUCGGGUUGUAAAGCACUUUUGUUGGGGAAGAAAAGCACUGGGUUAAUACCUUGGUGUCAUGACGGUACCCAAAGAAUAAGCACCGGCUAACUUCGUGCCAGCAGCCGCGGUAAUACGAAGGGUGCAAGCGUUACUCGGAAUUACUGGGCGUAAAGCGUGCGUAGGCGGUUUGUUAAGUCUGUCGUGAAAGCCCCGGGCUCAACCUGGGAAUGGCGAUGGAAACUGGCGAGCUAGAGUACGGUAGAGGAGAGUGGAAUUCCCGGUGUAGCAGUGAAAUGCGUAGAGAUCGGGAGGAACAUCAGUUGCGAAGGCGGCUCUCUGGACCAGUACUGACGCUGAGGCACGAAAGCGUGGGGAGCAAACAGGAUUAGAUACCCUGGUAGUCCACGCCCUAAACGAUGCGAACUGGACGUUGGGAGCAAUUAGGCUCUCAGUGUCGAAGCUAACGCGUUAAGUUCGCCGCCUGGGGAGUACGGUCGCAAGACUGAAACUCAAAGGAAUUGACGG